GCCUUCUUGGUGUAGUUGGUUAUCACGUGGGUCUCAUAUCUUCAUAUAUGACUGUUCGACAGAGCAGAUAUCCCGAGGUCAGCAGUUCGAUCCUGCUAGAGGGCA